rnacentral:misc_RNA from 1 species
GCAGCCAGAGUAGCCGAUGCUGUGCGAGGUCGGCGCCAUCAGCAGCAGGAUGUCCAUCCGCGCCGGAUCGAACGCCUCGGCGAGACGCGCCAGGUUUGACUGCACGCCAUCGNNNNNNNNNNNGUAGAACGGCGCGUCGCCCAGCAAGGGCAGCGCCUUCACAACGCCGCCGCCGGUGCCGAGCACCACGUCGCGCUCGUCGGAGAUGAUGACGCGCGGAGC